GCAGACGCUGAGGAUGACGGACACGGUGAUGAGCAGCAGCGCGGACCGCUGGCAGUCCAACGACGGCAGAGGACGGGAGCGCUGGCGAUAAAGAGCAGGGGAACUGGACCAUGCAGCCGGGUCCAGGUCCUGGUCCUGGUCCGGACCUGACAGAUGAAGAGAAAGAAAUCAUAAACAGCGUGAUCGCUCGGGCCGAGAAGAUGGAGGCCAUGGAGCAGGAGAGAAUCGGGUGAGAGGU